rnacentral:rRNA from 1 species
CAGUCGCCACGGGAAUACGUAGGGUGCAAGCGUUAAUCGGAAUUACUGGGCGUAAAGCGUGCGCAGGCGGUUCGUUAAGACAGAUGUGAAAUCCCCGGGCUUAACCUGGGAACCGCAUUUGUGACUGGCGGGCUAGAGUAUGGCAGAGGGGGGUAGAAUUCCACGUGUAGCAGUGAAAUGCGUAGAGAUGUGGAGGAAUACCGAUGGCGAAGGCAGCCCCCUGGGCCAAUACUGACGCCCAUGCACGAAAGCGUGGGGAGCAAACAGGAUUAGAUACCCGCGUAGUCCCUGUCUCUUAUAC